rnacentral:rRNA from 1 species
GACGAACGCUGGCGGCGUGCUUAACACAUGCAAGUCGAACGGAAAGGCCCUGCUUUUGUGGGGUGCUCGAGUGGCGAACGGGUGAGUAACACGUGAGUAACCUGCCCUUGACUUUGGGAUAACUUCAGGAAACUGGGGCUAAUACCGGAUAGGAGCUCCUGCUGCAUGGUGGGGGUUGGAAAGUUUCGGCGGUUGGGGAUGGACUCGCGGCUUAUCAGCUUGUUGGUGGGGUAGUGGCUUACCAAGGCUUUGACGGGUAGCCGGCCUGAGAGGGUGACCGGCCACAAUGGGACUGAGAUACGGACCAGACGCCUACGGGAGGCAGCAGUGGGGAAUAUUGCACAAUGGGCGGAAGCCUGAUGCAGCAACGCCGCGUGCGGGAUGACGGCCUUCGGGUUGUAAACCGCUUUCGCCUGUGACGAAGCGUGAGUGACGGUAAUGGGUAAAGAAGCACCGGCUAACUACGUG